rnacentral:rRNA from 1 species
AUUGAACGCUGGCGGCAUGCCUUACACAUGCAAGUCGAACGGUAACAGGUCUUCGGAUGCUGACGAGUGGCGAACGGGUGAGUAAUACAUCGGAACGUGCCUAGUAGUGGGGGAUAACUACUCGAAAGAGUGGCUAAUACCGCAUGAGAUCUACGGAUGAAAGCAGGGGAUCGCAAGACCUUGUGCUACUAGAGCGGCCGAUGGCAGAUUAGGUAGUUGGUGGGAUAAAAGCUUACCAAGCCGACGAUCUGUAGCUGGUCUGAGAGGACGAUCAGCCACACUGGGACUGAGAAACGGCCCAGACUCCGACGGGGGGCAGCAGUGGGGAAUUUUGGACAAUGGGCGCAAGCCUGAUCCAGCAAUGCCGCGUGCAGGAUGAAGGCCUUCGGGUUGUAAACUGCUUUUGUACGGAACGAAAAGCCCUGGGUUAAUACCCUGGGGUCAUGACGGUACCGUAAGAAUAGGCACCGGCUAACUACGUGCCAGCCGCCGCAGUAACAC